AUAUCGAACUCACUCGACGCGUGGCAGGAGCGGGGGAACCAGGUAGGCCGCCGACCGGCGAAGACCGGUCGGCUCGGGGUGAAGUCGCGCUCGCCGCGGCCGGGCAUCUCCAGCCCGAACCCGACAGCUCACCUCGCAGGCGCCGGAGAGGAAGC
rnacentral:sRNA from 2 species